rnacentral:rRNA from 1 species
UACGGGGGGGGCAAGCGUUGUUCGGAAUUACUGGGCGUAAAGGGCUCGUAGGCGGCCAACUAAGUCAGACGUGAAAUCCCCAGGCUCAACCUGGGAACUGCGUCUGAUACUGGAUGGCUUGAAUCCGGGAGAGGGAUGCAGAAUUCCAGGUGUAGCGGUGAAAUGCGUAGAUAUCUGGAGGAAUACCGGUGGCGAAGGCGGCAUCCUGGACCGGCAUUGACGCUGAGGAGCGAAAGCCAGGGAGCAAAGCGGG